CCCUCACCACAGUUUGACCCCGCCCCUGCCGCAUGUUAAGCCCCACCCCUGACACAAAAAAUCGUGGUGGAGAAUUCAUUAUUUUCCACCAAGGAUUAUUAAAAAACAAACACAUUUCCCUUGAUACAGUCCAUACACACACACACACACAGACUGCUGACCCCUUACACACAGAGACACACAGACUGCUGACCACACACACACAUAGACACACAGACUGCUGAGUCCAUACAAACACAGACACAUAGACUGCCACACACACACACACACAGACUGCUGAGUCCAUACACACACAUACACAGACUGCUGAGUCCAUACACACACAAACACAGACUGCUGAGUCCAUACACACAGACUGCUGAGUCCUCACACAGUGCUGAGCCCAUAC